rnacentral:rRNA from 1 species
AUACGGAAGGUCCGGGCGUUAUCCGGAUUUAUUGGGUUUAAAGGGAGCGCAGGCGGAGAUGCAAGCGUGACGUCAAAUUUCGGGGCUCAACCCCGUCUCGCGUCGCGAACUGCGUACCUUGGUUGCGGGAAGGGGAGGCGGAAAUCGCGGUGUAGCGGUGAAAUGCAUAGAUAUCACGAAGAACUCCGAUCGCGAAGGCAGCCUUCCGGCCCGUCAACGACGCUCAUGCUCGAAGGUGCGGGUAUCAAACAGGAUUAGAUACCCUGGUAGUCCGCACAGUAAAAGAUGGACACCCGCGGUUUGGCCUGUAUGGCUGAGCCGCCAAGCGAAAGCGUUAAGUGUCCCACCUGGGGAGUACGCCGGCAACGGUGAAACUCAAAGGAAUCGACGGGG